AACGAUGAAUACUAGGUGUAGGAGGUAUCGACCCCUUCUGUGCCGCAGUUAACACAAUAAGUAUUCCGCCCGUGGGAGUACGAUCGCAAGAUUAAACUCAAAGGAAUUGACGGGGCCGGCACAAGCAGCGGAGCAUGUGGUUUAAUUCGAAGCAACGCGAAGAACCUUACCUAGACUUGACAUCUCCUGAAUUACCCUUAACCGGGGAAGCCCUUCGGGGCAGGAAGACAGGUGGUGCAUGGUUGUCGUCAGCUCGUGUCGUGAGAUGUUGGGUUAAGUCCCGCAACGAGCGCAACCCUUAUCAUUAGUUGCUACCAUUAAGUUGAGCACUCUAGUGAGACUGCCACGGUUAACGUGGAGGAAGGUGGGGAUGACGUCAAAUCAUCAUGCCCCUUAUGUCUAGGGCUACACACGUGCUACAAUGGUGAGUACAAAGAGAUGCAAUACCGUGAGGUGGAGCCAAACUCAAAAACUCAUCCCAGUUCGGAUUGUAGGCUGAAACUCGCCUACAUGAAGCCGGAGUUGCUAGUAAUCGCGAAUCAGCAUGUCGCGGUGAAUACGUUCCCGGGCCUUGUACACACCGCCCGUCACACCAUGAGAGCUGGUAACACCCGAAGUCCGUGAGGUAACCCGUAAGGGAGCCAGCGGCCGAAGGUGGGAUUAGUGAUUGGGGUGAAGUCGUAACAAGGUAGCCGUAGGAGAACCUGCGGCUGGAUCACCUCCUUU
rnacentral:ncRNA from 1 species